GGCCGGUAACGACAACUCCGCGUCCCGCUUUACCCCUUCUUCUCCCCCGUCCGCUCCACCACCCGAGCGACUCCAGACCACGAGCCCCGCCGACGAAGCCGCCGUUGCCAGCCCCCACCCGCGUGCAAGAGGGGAGCGCCCCACUUCCGACAUUCAAGCCGAUCGGAGCGCGAUCCGGCGGGUCGGAGCCCAGCCAUGUCGGGGGUUUUUGGCAGGGUGUUCGGGAAGUCCAAG
rnacentral:rRNA from 1 species